UACGUAGGGGGCAAGCGUUGUCCGGAUUUACUGGGCGUAAAGAGCGCGCAGGCGGUCGUCCAAGUCGCGUGUGAAAGCCCCCGGCUCAACUGGGGAGGGUCACGCGAUACUGAUCGACUCGAAGGCAGGAGAGGGUAGUGGAAUUCCCGGUGUAGUGGUGAAAUGCGUAGAUAUCGGGAGGAACACCAGUGGCGAAGGCGACUCCCUGGACUGUUAUUGACGCUGAGGCGCGAAAGCUAGGGGAGCAAACGGG
rnacentral:rRNA from 1 species